UCAUGCUCAAUGGCCUCAUACCUCAACCCUUCCUGCUAGAAAUCUUCUAUGGACCAAUGUGUUUUCUAUCUUCUCUUAUUCGUCUGCCGAUGAUGUUCAAUUGCGUGAGGUACUGGUAAUCUGCAUCCUGAGGUCUAGAUCACUCUGUUUAUUGUAUCUAGUCCUUGGGAUGCAGAUUACCUCUUCCUUGCUGGCAAUGAAAAGCUUGUGAUCAGCUUAAAGAAGCUAUACUACUUGAUGUGCUACCUUUUAGAAGUACACUUUUCACGCUUUCUUCUACGUGUUGGUUGUUUCUUUAUUGCUGCAUUUUCAGGUAUGUGCUCGCAUACUAGACACAUCAGGUGGUCAAAACUCAAAAAUAUUGAUUCAUUUCCCUUGGUUAAUGGCACAUCCACAAAGCAAUUGCUGCCCACUAAAUGAACUUCUGCUCCUGUAGUACUGCUCAAGUUUUCUGCAGUACAAAUAGCAUCUUCCCUUCUUUCAGCUUUCUGCAGAACUCCAACAGCCUCUUCCCUGCUUUCAGUGAAGUACUUGCCAUCAUUGAAGAUCAGAAACUCUAACAUCUCCACAUGAAAGAAACUAAAACAUCCAUGUAUGUGUUAUGCAGGACCCGAAGUCUUUUCCGACCACACAAUGCCAGGACAGGUUGAAGUUAUAUUAGCUAGAAAAAUCUAUCUUCGGUAAAAGUUAAUUAACAGCAAGCUCUAUGACAUUAUACCAUGUAUCGUUUUUUUUUUUUGGGUAUGUAUUACACAUGACUUGAAGCAAAAGAAAGUUAGUUCCCCCUAUAAUAAGACUCCUAAACUUUUAUUCAGUCA